GCCCCUGUCCAGCCCUCACCACAUCCUGAUAUGGAGGGGAUUGGAGUCCUCCAUGCUCAAUGCAAUAAGAGAGUUCACCACCAUCUCAGGAGAUACUAAUCUGAUUAAAAGACUUACACCUUGCUUAACAAGUAACAACUGAUAGAACGUGUGGGAAUCUCACAAAGCUGCACCAAGGGAAAUUCAGACUGGAUAUAUGGAAAGAAUGUCUUAGCCAUGAGGAUGGUCAAACACUGGAACAGCCUUUCUAACUACGUGAUUGAUGUCCUAUGCCUAUCGCAUGUGGAAUUAGUCACAUGGAUGUGGACAGAACGCACAAAGCAGGACCUUUGGAAGCUGUGUGACAUCACUCCAACUUCAGGGUUGCUCUUUGCCUGUAUGUAUACAGUAGGUGCUUUACUGACUAACAUGAAACAGUCUCCAAAUGAAGUGUCUAUCAACCAGUGCUGGCCUUCAUGUGCUGCAAAGAUGAGCUGCUAAUUUGCAUAGAUCCAGGCUCUCAUGGAUUAUCAGUAGUUGCUCAUGUGCUGCCUCAUACAGGAACACCAGUGCAGUAUUUCUUCACUCCCAAGCUUUCAUGAACUACAGCGCCUGAAAAAAGAAUCUGUGGAGUCAUACAUUUGUAGCUGAGAUUUUAACCAAAGCAGAAGUAGAGGGGUUAACUGACAAGAAUAAGGAUUUAGGGUUUUUGUCUAAAGGUACUUAAUUGAGUCUUGUCUUUUAGUUCAGCAAGCAGUGGAUCAAGACCUGUCAGAUGGAAGUGAAUUAUUUUAACUCUGGCAGUCAGUAGCAGAAUCAUAAUAAGUGGUGUUCACAAUAAAGAAAAAAUUUAGAGUAUCAUACAAGAAAUAAGCAUUGCAGAUCGAGAAUACCUGGUUACCUGUUAUCUUCUUUGUGCCAUUUUCUAAAAGGAAAGUAUUAUAUUUUACUGUGAAGAAAUUUGUGGUUUAAGUUCCUUUAAAUCACUAUUUUACUGCCUUUAUACUUACAAUGAAUGAAGACAAACAAAAAAGAUAAUAAAAAGAGAAUAAUAAAACAUUUCAAGACUGAUGAAACCGGGGAAUUAUACCUACUUAAAGAUUACUGUCUCAUAUUUUCCAAAUACAUGUGAGCCCUGAACUGAAGCCUAUCUUAUACCUGGUCUGUUCAUAAAUGUGCUUUGUGGUAACGUCCCUCAAGGACAGAGUCUGUAUUUCAGAAUUUUCAUUACCUUGAAGAUAGCCAGGUAUUCACCUGGCUUCCUAUGUACACUAAAGUUUUAGGAAUUUAAUAAUUUUCACACAGUUUACUGGAUCAAAAUUGAUUGGGAAUACAGUUUGGUCAUUGUAUUGUGGAAAUGAAUAAGAUCAAUUUGCAUAGGAAACUAGAUCAGAAAGCAUAACAGACUUUGUAUUGCAGUUGAAUUACUAUUUGCAGUAGAAAUGGAACAACAAUGUGAUGUGAAAACCCAUAUUUAGCCACAGUAUCUAUGGAGAAUGAAAGUAAAUUACUUGUACUCUGAUUUGGAAGAACCAAUCUAGAAGUAAGAUUUUAGUAUGGAACAGUAUCUUAUAAUGUACAUAUCAGCAAAACUAUCAAUUGUAAAUAUUGCAAAUGUUGAAGAUCUCUGUGAUAGUCUAUUUUAAUUAUGUGUAUGACAUCAUUGGCAUAAUUCAAAUAGAUUAUCAUGUAUUUUCAGAUUGUGGUGUUUUUAGGUCACCACUGAAUUGGACAAAGUUGCCUGGAUUGCCCUGUUCACCAGAAUAUGCUUUAUUCAAAUGUAUGCAACUAAAUAAUAAUUGAAUCAGUCUUAAGUUGGUGACGUGUCACUGCUUUAUGGGCCAGAUAAUAAAAUAGGACAGGGCAAUAGUCAAAUAUUUCAAAGCCUUCUCUAAGCUAUUGAUAAUUUUUCCCAUAUGGUUUGAAAACAAAAUAAUUCAUAAUAAUGAUACUAGAAUGCAUGCCAUUCGUUCUAAUAAAAGGCCAGCUGAAAAGAUAGGCAAAAGCUGGACUAGCGUUCUUGGCAACAAUACCCACUGUUCUAAAUGCAUUCUGAAUCAGAUUUAAUUUGAAUUAAGUAGAA
ensembl:lncRNA